rnacentral:rRNA from 1 species
GACGAACGCUGGCGGCGUGCCUAAUACAUGCAAGUAGAACGCUGAAGGAGGAGCUUGCUUCUCUGGAUGAGUUGCGAACGGGUGAGUAACGCGUAGGUAACCUGCCUGGUAGCGGGGGAUAACUAUUGGAAACGAUAGCUAAUACCGCAUAAGAGUAGAUGUUGCAUGACAUUUACUUAAAAGGUGCAAUUGCAUCACUACCAGAUGGACCUGCGUUGUAUUAGCUAGUUGGUGGGGUAACGGCUCACCAAGGCGACGAUACAUAGCCGACCUGAGAGGGUGAUCGGCCACACUGGGACUGAGACACGGCCCAGACUCCUACGGGAGGCAGCAGUAGGGAAUCUUCGGCAAUGGAUGGAAGUCUGACCGAGCAACGCCGCGUGAGUGAAGAAGGUUUUCGGAUCGUAAAGCUCUGUUGUAAGAGAAGAACGAGUGUGAGAGUGGAAAGUUCACACUGUGACGGUAUCUUACCAGAAAGGGACGGCUAACUACGUGCCAGCAGCCGCGGUAAUACGUAGGUCCCGAGCGUUGUCCGGAUUUAUUGGGCGUAAAGCGAGCGCAGGCGGUUAGAUAAGUCUGAAGUUAAAGGCUGUGGCUUAACCAUAGUACGCUUUGGAAACUGUUUAACUUGAGUGCAAGAGGGGAGAGUGGAAUUCCAUGUGUAGCGGUGAAAUGCGUAGAUAUAUGGAGGAACACCGGUGGCGAAAGCGGCUCUCUGGCUUGUAACUGACGCUGAGGCUCGAAAGCGUGGGGAGCAAACAGG